rnacentral:rRNA from 1 species
UACAGAGGUCUCAAGCGUUGUUCGGAUUCAUUGGGCGUAAAGGGUGCGUAGGCGGCGCGGUAAGUCGGGUGUGAAAUCUCGGGGCUUAACUCCGAAACUGCAUUCGAUACUGCCGUGCUUGAGGACUGGAGAGGAGACUGGAAUUUACGGUGUAGCGGUGAAAUGCGUAGAGAUCCGGAAGAACACCGGUGGCGAAGGCGGUUAGCUGGGCAGUUGCUGACACUGAGGCGCGACAGCGUGGGGAGCAAACAGG